GGUAAUUGUGGAGUAUUUUGGAAGUUAAAUUUUGGUAUCUUGGCAUCAUAUUUGAGGUUAAGUACAUUCUCCGCAUUAUUUAUAUUUUCGAAUUCAUAUUAUCUUCAUUUCAUGGUAAGGAAGAGUGUAAAUUACCGAAGGGGGAUGACGGGUGCCACAACCCUAAAUCGGACAUGGUCGUGAUGGUGCCUAUCUUGAAACAAGGCCAGGCGACACAAAUUCCCAAUCCAUUUAGACAGUUAUAAUAAUUCAAUUUAAGUAAUCAAUAAGUGAUAAUCCCAAAAUAGAGGGAAAUAGAACAAAUACGAAAAUAAAUACAGCCCGACAUCGAGGUGUUACCACUCACUAGUCAUGAGCAUCUAAUCAUAUGUCUAAGAGUAUGGAAAAGGAAUACACAGUCUAUUAUAGAAUCUAGUACAAAGGAAAAUAAAAAUAUGAGGGAGAAGCAGUUGGCAGCGAAUACCGAGCAGUAACCUAGCGAACUCUGAAUAGCCUGCUGGAAGCAAUCAGCCCCCGUUAGCGUGACUCGAGACUCCUGGAUCUGCAUACAAGGUGCGAGGAGUAAUAUAAGUACGCCAACUCAGUGAGUAAUAAAAGUUAAGGCAGCUGAGCGAUAAGAAAAUACAUAUAACACAACAAAAUUCUACAACGAUGCAGUAUAAAACUAAUGCAAUGCAAUAAAAAGGGGAAAACUUGUAAAAUCACCUUACUUCAAUGAAAACUUCUUUAAACAUCAUUUAAUAGUCCAAAUAAGUGAAUGAAAAUAGGGAGAAAAGAUAGAUUCAUAAAUUAUCCCCUCGUGCAAAAUAUCAAUAGAAUCAGCCCCUCGGGCAAUAACAUGAACAACAUCAUCCCCUUGGGCUAUAUCAUAUAUCACACUAGUUACCCACGCUUACUAGGGGUGUACUGACUCCGAAUGGGGCCCCUUACGGCCAAAGCGCAAUAUCAAGUCAUCUCGUUGCAUAAUCAAAUAGGCUCUCGGCCUUAUAUCAAGCCACCUCGUGGUGUACAACUCAGGCCCUCAACCUAAAAAUUAUGAAUCAUCAACGAUACCGCUGCGGCACGCAGCCCCAUUCCAUAAUAACCUCACAACACAUGCCCUCGGCCCUACUCAGUAAGAAAUCUCCAAAAGCCACUUGGGCACAGUAAAAUAUGAUGUUCGGCCCAAAAUAUCAUUUAAGAUGUCAGACAGAGUAAACAUGGCUGAGUUAAGAAAACAAUAGAAUAUAGCAUGAAUUAGUACAAACAUAAAGUUAAAACAGUGAGGAAUGGUAGUAAAAAUCCCCUAAGAGUCCAAAUAGUUGGUACCAGACCCAAAUAUAGUAUUCAUUCCAAAACAUGAUGAUAGCAAACAAUUUUCAAUCAAAUACGCAGUUAAGCAGUCAUAUGGGGUGGGAAAAAUCUCAAUCCCUAACGGUGCAUGAACCCACGCCCGUCAUCUAGCGUGUGUGUUACCUCAGAAUAGCACAAGGAUGUCAAAUUCGGGGUUUCAUACCCUCAGGACAGCAUUUACAACCAUUACUUACCUUUAUCCGGUACUAACUAUAGCCCGCGAUGCCUUUGCCUUUCUGAUCGACCUCCAGAUAGACCAAAUCUAACAAAAAUCAGUACAUAAAUAUCAAAAUAUGCUAAGGGAACAAAGCCCACUCGAAAGUAAUCAAAUUACAACAUAAAUCCUGAAAUUGGCUAAACCUGACCCCCAGGCCCACAUCUCGAAUUCCGAUAAAAAUCAAAAAAUUAGAAUCCUUACUCCCUCACGAUUUCAUACAUAUCAAAUACAUCAAAACCUGACCAUGAACGACCCCUCAAAUUUCUAGAUUUAGGUCUCCAAUUUCCAAUCCCUAACUUCCAAUUUUUAGGCUUAAAUUCCACAAAUUCCAUGAUUAAUUAGGUAGAAAUCACAUUAGGAUUGAGUAUUAAGUCCUGGAAGGACAAAGUCUAUGGUGCACUUAAAGCGUAUAGACAAAUCGGUUUCAAAUAGAACUUCUUGAUAAAGAAGAUGAGCAAAUGAUAAAAGUGAUCAUAAUAAAUAAGGCAAGUGAUCUAGAAGGUCAUAUGACAUAACACUUCAUAAAAUCCCAUGAGAGAUUCAGAUACAUGAAUAUAUGAAUGAAGAGAUAUCUAAGUUAUGUCUUUAUGAAAAUUUAUUAGAAUCGAUAUAAAUUGUUUGUCGAUGACAUCGAUCAUAGCGUUGAGUAUAGAUGAGGAUCUUAAGUCUAUCGAAUAUAGACACAAAAAAUAUUGGCCAAAUGGAAGAGAUACAAUUCAAGUAGAAUUGAUUCCAUAUGAAAGAC
rnacentral:lncRNA from 1 species